rnacentral:rRNA from 1 species
AGCUUGCUGGGUGGAUUAGUGGCGAACGGGUGAGUAACACGUGAGUAACCUGCCCCUGACUCUGGGAUAAGCGUUGGAAACGACGUCUAAUACUGGAUAUGACUGCCGGCCGCAUGGUCUGGUGGUGGAAAGAUUUUUUGGUUGGGGAUGGACUCGCGGCCUAUCAGCUUGUUGGUGAGGUAAUGGCUCACCAAGGCGACGACGGGUAGCCGGCCUGAGAGGGUGACCGGCCACACUGGGACUGAGACACGGCCCAGACUCCUACGGGAGGCAGCAGUGGGGAAUAUUGCACAAUGGGCGAAAGCCUGAUGCAGCAACGCCGCGUGAGGGAUGACGGCCUUCGGGUUGUAAACCUCUUUUAGUAGGGAAGAAGCGAAAGUGACGGUACCUGCAGAAAAAGCACCGGCUAACUACGUGCCAGCAGCCGCGGUAAUACGUAGGGUGCAAGCGUUGUCCGGAAUUAUUGGGCGUAAAGAGCUCGUAGGCGGUUUGUCGCGUCUGCUGUGAAAUCCCGAGGCUCAACCUCGGGCUUGCAGUGGGUACGGGCAGACUAGAGUGCGGUAGGGGAGAUUGGAAUUCCUGGUGUAGCGGUGGAAUGCGCAGAUAUCAGGAGGAACACCGAUGGCGAAGGCAGAUCUCUGGGCCGUAACUGACGCUGAGGAGCGAAAGCAUGGGGAGCGAACAGGAUUAGAUACCCUGGUAGUCCAUGCCGUAAACGUUGGGCGCUAGAUGUAGGGACCUUUCCACGGUUUCUGUGUCGUAGCUAACGCAUUAAGCGCCCCGCCUGGGGAGUACGGCCGCAAGGCUAAAACUCAAAGGAAUUGACGGGGGCCCGCACAAGCGGCGGAGCAUGCGGAUUAAUUCGAUGCAACGCGAAGAACCUUACCAAGGCUUGACAUACACCGGAAACGGCCAGAGAUGGUCGCCCCCUUGUGGUCGGUGUACAGGUGGUGCAUGGUUGUCGUCAGCUCGUGUCGUGAGAUGUUGGGUUAAGUCCCGCAACGAGCGCAACCCUCGUUCUAUGUUGCCAGCGCGUUAUGGCGGGGACUCAUAGGAGACUGCCGGGGUCAACUCGGAGGAAGGUGGGGAUGACGUCAAAUCAUCAUGCCCCUUAUGUCUUGGGCUUCACGCAUGCUACAAUGGCCGGUACAAAGGGCUGCGAUACCGUAAGGUGGAGCGAAUCCCAAAAAGCCGGUCUCAGUUCGGAUUGAGGUCUGCAACUCGACCUCAUGAAGUCGGAGUCGCUAGUAAUCGCAGAUCAGCAACGCUGCGGUGAAUACGUUCCCGGGCCUUGUACACACCGCCCGUCAAGUCAUGAAAGUCGG